rnacentral:RNase_P_RNA from 1 species
CGAGCAAGCCGGGCGGCCGCCGCUCCGCAUGUCGGGUAGUUCUCGGCAAGCGGGGGGGAGGAAAGUCCGAACUCCGCAGGGCAGUGUGCUCGCUAACGGCGAGGGCCGGGGAUGGAUGCUCGGUAAAACGGGCCGUACGCCCCCGGCACGGAAAGUGCCACAGAAAACAUACCGCCCCUCCUUCCAUUCCGUCGCGAAUAGGCGAAAUGGUCGGGCGGGUAAGGGUGAAAUGGUGCGGCGGCUGACCCAUCGCGAUGGGUCAAGCGGCUUAAUGUAAGGGCGCACCGCACCGGCCGUGAGGCCGGCGGCAUGGAAAACCCCGCACGGAGCAAGACCAAAUAGGGGAGCAGGAGCGGCCCGCUCCGAAAUGCGCCGCGCUCACAGCCGUACGGGUGACGUUGCGCAUGCGACUCCCGGGUAGAUCGCUCGAGCCUGCCAGCAAUGGCCGGCCUAGAGGAAUGGCUGCCAUCCCGAUCCUUUCGGGUUACAGAAUUCGGCUUACAGGCUUGCUCGCCAA